rnacentral:rRNA from 1 species
AUUGAACGCUGGCGGCAGGCCUAACACAUGCAAGUCGAGCGGAUGAAGGGAGCUUGCUCCUGGAUUCAGCGGCGGACGGGUGAGUAAUGCCUAGGAAUCUGCCUGGUAGUGGGGGAUAACGUCCGGAAACGGGCGCUAAUACCGCAUACGUCCUGAGGGAGAAAGUGGGGGAUCUUCGGACCUCACGCUAUCAGAUGAGCCUAGGUCGGAUUAGCUAGUUGGUGGGGUAAAGGCCUAUCAAGGCGACGAUCCGUAACUGGUCUGAGAGGAUGAUCAGUCACACUAGAACUGAGACACGGUCCAGGCUCCUACGGGAGGCAGCAGUGGGGAAUAUUGGACAAUGGGCGAAAGCCUGAUCCAGCCAUGCCGCGUGUGUGAAGAAGGUCUUCGGAUUGUAAAGCACUUUAAGUUGGGAGGAAGGGCAGUAAGUUAAUACCUUGCUGUUUUGACGUUACCAACAGAAUAAGCACCGGCUAACUUCGUG